AAAAAGAUAAGCUAACUAAGCUACUGGGCUCAUACCCCAUCAAUAAAGGUCCCAAUCCUUUUCUUUUUG
rnacentral:tRNA from 1 species